UAUCUCAUGAAUUGUGGAUGUGUAUGGAUAUAAAUCCAUGGAGUCCCAAACAGCACCGUUUGGGAAGCAGUCCAUAUUGUCCUAUAAAGUCUUAGAAUGACCGGAUCCUCUGUUGUCUAGAGGUGAAGGUCUCUCUACCUACAUUCGUCUUCUUGCUUUGACCAACACAUGAUUCUAGAGCUGUAGGUCUCUCUACCUACAUUCGUCUUCUUGCUUUGACCAACACAUGAUUCUAGAGCUGUAGGUCUCUCUUCCUACAUUCGUCUUCUUGCUUUGACCAACACCUGUUCCAGGUUAAACCAGGUAUAGUGGAGAGUGACAGAGUUCCAGGGUAACCAGGUAUAGUGGAGAGUUCCAGGUAUAGUAGAGAGUUCCAGGUUAAACCAGGUAUAGUGGAGAGUUCCAGGUUAAACCAGGUAUAGUGGAGAGUGACAGAGUUCCAGGGUAAACCAGGUAUAGUAGAGAGUUCCAGGUUAAACCAGGUAUAGUAGAGAGUUCCAGGUUAAACCAGGUAUAGUGGAGAGUUCCAGGUUAAACCAGGUAUAGUGGAGAGUGACAGAGUUCCAGGUUAAACCAGGUAUAGUAGAGAGUGACAGAGUUCCAGGUUAAACCAGGUAUAGUGGAGAGUUCCAGGUUAAACCAGGUAUAGUGGAGAGUUCCAGGGUAAACCAGGUAUAGUAGAGUGACAGAGUUCCAGGUUAAACCAGGUAUAGUGGAGAGUUCCAGGUUAAACCAGGUAUAGUGGAGAAUUCCAGGUUAAACCAGGUAUAGUGGAGAGUUCCAGGGUAAACCAGGUAUAGUGGAGAGUGACAGAGUUCCAGGGUAAACCAGGUAUAGUAGAGAGUGACAGAGUUCCAGGGUAAACCAGGUAUAGUAGAGAGUUCCAGGGCAAACCAGGUAUAGUAGAGAGUUCCAGGUUAAACCAGGUAUAGUGGAGAGUUCCAGGGUAAACCAGGUAUAGUAGAGAGUUCCAGGUUAAACCAGGUAUAGUGGAGAGUUCCAGGGUAAACCAGGUAUAGUGGAGAGUUCCAGGUUAAACCAGGUAUAGUGGAGAGUUCCAGGUUAAACCAGGUAUAGUGGAGAGUUCCAGGGUAAACCAGGUAUAGUGGAGAGUUCCAGGGUAAACCAGGUAUA
ensembl:lncRNA